GGCACCGGCUUCGGCUGGUGUUUGGUGAGUGGCGCCACCACGGACCCCAGCCCCCAGUCCCAAGGUGUUACCUACCGUGCCGAGGGGAUGAAAGGUGAAGGGAGAGAAACCAUGAACGGAGGCGGUCGAGGUUUUGGUCAAACCCCGGCCGAUGGGUUUUCAGUAACUCCGGGACCUUUCCACAUGUAUGGACGUGAAGUGUGGGAGACAGUUUUGGAUCGUCCAGCUCUAAAUACCGCAUGGCUGUUCUAUCCAUUCCACAAACGUCUGGGAACCUGCCAAAGCGCUCCAAGCCUUGGUGGAACACCGACUGCAAGGAUACACGGAAGGAGCAAAAUCGGGCAUGGAGUAUCUUUCGCAAAUAUCCAACCACAACAAACCUAAUCCGGUUUAAAAAGGCUAGGGCUAAAGCCCGUUGGACACGGCGCCAAGCCAAAAAAGCGUCGUGGAAGGAUUUUGUCUCAAGUCUGAAUAACAACACACCUUCAAAGAUUGGACUAUGGAUGCGCUGUUUAUGGGUCGGCUCGACCAACUGCUUUGAAGAUACUCGAUCCGAUACAUCACCAGGGACUACGCUUAGUCCUUGGCGCAUUCAGAACAUCGCCAGUGGAGAGUUUGUAUGUCGAGUCGAACCACUGGUCACUCACAAGACGGAGGUUUUUUCUUAGCGCCACAUAUGCACUUAGGGUUCGGUGUUACCCCCAACAUCCAGCGCUCGAAUGUGUGCAGGACACUCAA